rnacentral:rRNA from 1 species
CGGUGUUCAACUGGCGUGUCCGCGGGACGUCCUGCCGGUGGGCUUAGCCCGCAAGGGCGGCCCAACUUCAAAUCCCAUCGCGGUGCUCUUCACUGAGUGUCGAGGUGGGCCGGCACGUUUACUUUGAACAAAUUAGAGUGCUUAAAGCAGGCUAAAACUUCGCCUGAAUACUGUGUGCAUGGAAUAAUGGAAUAGGACCUCGGUUCUAUUUUGUUGGUUUUCGGAACCCCGAGGUAAUGAUUAAUGGGAACGGAUGGGGGCAUUCGUAUUGCGACGUUAGAGGUGAAAUUCUUGGAUCGUCGCAAGACGGACAGAAGCGAAAGCAUUUGCCAAAAACGCUUUCAUUGAUCAAGAACGAAAGUUAGAGGUUCGAAGGCGAUCAGAUACCGCCCUAGUUCUAACCAUAAACGAUGCCAGCUAGCGAUCCGUCGACGUUCCUCCGAUGACUCGACGGGCAGCUUCCGGGAAACCAAAGCUUUUGGGUUCCGGGGGAAGUAUGGUUGCAAAGCUGAAACUUAAAGGAAUUGACGGAAGGGCACCACCAGGAGUGGAGCCUGCGGCUUAAUUUGACUCAACACGGGAAACCUCACCAGGCCCGGACACCGGAAGGAUUGACAGAUUGAGAGCUCUUUCUUGAUUCGGUGGGUGGUGGUGCAUGGCCGUUCUUAGUUGGUGGAGCGAUUUGUCUGGUUAAUUCCGAUAACGAACGAGACUCUAGCCUGCUAACUAGGCGUAUUUUCGACAUCUCAAAGGUCCGUCGUCCCGGCCCUCGGGUCGUGGGCGUGCGCGAUUUUUACUGUCGGCGUACUAUCAAUUCUUCUUAGAGGGACAGGUGGCUUCUAGCCGCACGAGAUUGAGCAAUAACAGGUCUGUGAUG